UGACAGUUAAGGAGUAGCAGAAAUGGACACAACAUUGAACUACUUGUUCCAACUCUUUGCUGGUCUCUGCUAGCUCACAGGUAUACAGCAACUAGUCAGAACUGCAAAGGCCACAUGAAAUAUCUUUAAUGGUUAAUUGGGAUCUGUGGAGAAAAACAAUCUUCAAGGAUGUGAGGGUAUGGAAUGCUAAAAGAGAAGGAAGUGCGAACAAAAUCUGACACGAUAGGAAGAAGUGGAAAGGAAUGAAUGGCAGAAAUUGGGAAUCAUCUAUCUGUUCCAAACAUCCAAUGUUCAAAUGAGGACCAGGUAAUGGCUAAAUAGUUUCAGACUACUUUUUUGUGGAAUGGUGCAGAGAAUGAGCAAAUUCAGAUUUGGCUU
rnacentral:lncRNA from 1 species